CAGCGGGGCUCCAUGUCUGUGCGGGUGUUGAGCCAGGUGUGGCUGGUGGGGCCUUGCCAACACCACUGGAAUGUGACCUCACACUUCUGACUGUUGACCUCUCCCCACAGGAAAUGACAACUAGUAGGGCCAGGCUCUGACAGGUCUGGCCAAGUCUAGCCCAUGGUAGAAACACCUGAAAAGCCUCCCUUGGUGGGCUUACCUUACUCUGUAUUCCCAUUUUUCUUUCUCUCAAAUGCACACAGAAAUUGCCAUCCUGGACAAACCCUAAAUGAAGUGGACGUGGAGGCUGAGAUGCAGAAAAAACUGCUAUGGCUGGGAAGGAGAAAGUGCUAUCCUACAGCCCACCCCUCCUGGGAAGUGUCAUCCCCUUUGCUGCUCUAACUUCAGUCCAUGUGCUUCCCCUCUGCUUGUCCUGCCAAAUGGCAGCAAUGAAGCAGGAGGGACUUGGGUCUAAGCAGUCAGAUUAGUAGAAUGGGGAAGAGGAUGCACUCUGGAGCCAGACUGCAUGGAUUCAGAUCACAGCUCUGUCAUCUGUUAUUUGCAUGAUCUAAAUUAUUGACCCUCCUUUAGCUUCAGUCUCCUCCUUUGUUAAGGGAUUACAGUGGGCCUAUACCCAUUAAGUUCAUGUGUGGAUUAAAUGAAUUAAUUUAUGUAAGCACUUAGAUCAGUGCCCUGCACAUACUGUAGAGAGGCAUAAAGUCACAUUGUUGCUUGUCACUAUUCCUUAGUAAUGUUUUGGUUCUGCCACAGUCUAUUUAGCCAUUUCUAAAUUGAUGGCCAUAUAGAUUGCUUUGAUUUUCCACUCUUGCAAAUAAGGCUUCCACGUGUAUUUUUAUAUAUGCUUCCUUUUACACAUGAAGAAUAGUUUCUCAAAGAUAGAGAAGAUGUAAAAUUGCUGCAUUUAUAAUUUUAAAGGCUUUAUUAGAAAAUUAUGAGUCUGCUUUCUCUUUCUUCUACCUGUUGGUUUUAGUUAUUCCCUUGGGCAGCCUAAGCCAUAUUAGCAGCUCCGAAGUAAUAGAUCCUACUGGUUAAGACUGAUAACUUCAGGUUCAGAUGAAUUUUGAGGGUAAGGGGGUCAUGUUUUGAGGAAGCUUACUAAGCAUUUAUAUACAGUAAUUUAUUUAAUUACUAUGAGGUAGUAAUGACUGCAUGACUAUCCCCACUUUACUCAUUAGGAAAUGGGAGGCAAAAAGAAGCAAUAUAAUUACUCAGGGUCACACAACCGUAAGUGGUGGAUCCUUUGUACAGGUGUGAACAUUGAAUCAGUACAUGUAAAAUUUCUUAGUAUUCUGCUCAACAUACAGAAAACAUGCAAUCGAUGUUAGCGUUAUUCUAGGAUUAAUUGGUGAUAAUUAGGGCUGUAGAAUUAUUACCAUCACUACUUUACUACUCUCAGAAUGUGAUAAAGCUUAUCUCUGGGGAGUUCACUUCAUUUGUCUUAACAAAAUGAUAUGGAAUUGUGGUUUCAAGCCUUGGUUGGCCAAUCUAGUUUAUUCUGUUCCAUAGCCACAAACUACAUGCUUAAACUUUGAGAAAGUUGCCAUAAUUAGCACCCUGGUGUUUACCCACAGAUAAGAUACAUACACAUAUAGUUAAAUAUAAAGUGUGGAUGCACAUAAAUUCUCAUUUGUGAUGGGGCAGAAGCCAGUGGGUGGGGAGCAGAGUUGCACUGGAUGCCCACGAGAGAGUAAUGGAGGCCUAUACUUGGCCCUUGAGGAGGACAGGUCAGCUGGCUUGGGAUGCUGGAACACUGGAAGCAGACUAUGAAAUCAAUUCCCUCCUGGAGGGAAUGGCAUAUAUUAAUGCACUAAACACUACUAUGGGGUAGAAGAUGUGGUUACUAAGAUGAAGAAAACACAGCCCUUGACCUCCAGAGGACAGAAUUGUUGAUGCAUGUUUGCACCACGGGUGACACACAGGAACAUACUCUAGAGGUGCAUACAAAGUGUGGUGGGGUCUAGAAUCUUCCAGAAUAUGUCAUAGGAACAGAAGUGUGGGCAGGAAUUUGAGGCAGAGGGAGAGGCAUGUGAGAAGACAUGGGUGUAACACAGCAGGGUGUGUGCAGGGCACUGCAGGGCCAGGAAGGAUGACUGUGUGGUGUGGUGCACGUGAGGAGGGAGAGGUGAGGCAUCAUGAAGGAGGCUGAAAGCCAUGUCAAGGAGUUUUGACUUUUAUCUUAAAGGAUAUGGGCAGCCACCAAACGUUUUUUGUCUUUUUUUUUUGUUUGGUUUUUGUUUUUAGAAAGAAAAAGCUUGAUUAAAUCUUAAUUGCACAAGGUGUUUCUUAAAAUACUGGCAUCCUGAGGAAAAGCUGGGCUGCCUUGAGGUGGGAGCAGACUUGUGGGAGAGAGAGCACAACAGGAAUGGGGUCCAGGAAGGGGCUGGCAGCAGCCUGGGAAAAUGUUAGAAGGUGGAUCUUGUAACCAUGACCAAGUUUGACUGACUACAUUGGCUGGUCUGAUAGUCUCACAUGGAACAAACAAAUAAAUCAGAGAAUACCUUUACCCUGAUCAGUAGUUACAGAAUUGUUUCAUUUAAUCAUUAAAAUAACUUGUGAUUUUGGCAUCAUUGUUACUCCCACCCUGCAGCUGAGUAAAUGAAGGCUCACAGAAGUCAAGAAAGUGGCUUCAGAACCCAUAGUGUGUGAGUGCUAGUAUUCAUUUGGCACAAUUCAGCACUCCUUUGCUGCCAGGAGUGUCCCCAAAGGCCAGGGAAGUGACUACAGAGUUUAUUAUGCUGAGUUCCUGAAUGGGGCAUCACUCUGUGUGGCUGCAGAAAGCUUCAGUACCCAGAGUUGAUGCCUUCUGUGGUAAAGUGGCCCUGCAGGGCCCCAUGUGGUAUGUGAGGUGAUGGCCAGAUAUCCCUCUGAGGAGGAGGUGUGUGAGGGACCUGAAGAGCUAAAUGUUCUCCUGACAGUUCCCUCUUCCCAAGGUAGAGGCAGCAGGUGAGACCUCCAAGGGCUGGCAAGGACAAGUGGCCUGUGACUCUCAUCACAAGGGAAUGAUUGGACCAGCACAAAUCCAUCAUCACUUCUGGAAAAACUGCUCCCAGGACAUGACUGACUGGCAACAGAGCUUAGCAGGGCACCUUGGCCCCCCAGGUGCUCCCUUUCUUCUGCAAUGUUUCAGUGACAAGAAAAAGGGAUUUCUUAAGUGCUCAGCUGUAAGAAUGAGUGGGUUGAUGGUGCUAUGGUGCAACCCUACCCCACCCUGAUGCCUCCUGCUGCAUCAGGACCCUGGGUCUUGGCAUUUCUGUAGGCAGCCACACCUCUGAGUUAAGGAAAGUAGGAUGCCUUUCACACUUUCUUUGGUUCUUCAGACACAGGCACACCUCGUUUUAUUGCACUUUGCUUUACUAUGCUUUGCAGAUAUUGUAUUUUUUAUAAAUUGAAAGUUUUUGGAAAGCCUGCAAAAAAACAAAACAAAACAAAACAAAAAACCUAUUGGUACCACUGUUUCCCAAUAGCAUUUGUUCAAUUCAUGUCUCUGUGUCACAUUUUGGUUAAUUCUCACAAUAGUUUAAACUUUUUCAUUAUUAUUAUAUUUGUUAUGGUGAUCUGUGAUCAGUGAUUUUAAUGUUACUAUUAUAAUUGUUUUGGGGAACCACAAACCACGUCCAUAUAAAAAUUGCAAACAAUCAUAAA